AGAGUUUGAUCCUGGCUCAGGACGAACGCUGGCGGCGUGCUUAACACAUGCAAGUCGAACGGAAAGCGCUCUUCGGAGUGACUCGAGUGGCGAACGGGUGAGUAACACGUGGGUGAUCUGCCCUGCACUUUGGGAUAAGCCUGGGAAACUGGGUCUAAUACCGGAUAGGACUACGAAUCGCAUGGUUUGUGGUGGAAAGCUUUUGCGGUGUGGGAUGGGCCCGCGGCCUAUCAGCUUGUUGGUGGGGUGAUGGCCUACCAAGGCGACGACGGGUAGCCGGCCUGAGAGGGUGUCCGGCCACACUGGGACUGAGAUACGGCCCAGACUCCUACGGGAGGCAGCAGUGGGGAAUAUUGCACAAUGGGCGCAAGCCUGAUGCAGCGACGCCGCGUGAGGGAUGACGGCCUUCGGGUUGUAAACCUCUUUCAACAGGGACGAAGCGCAAGUGACGGUACCUGUAGAAGAAGCACCGGCCCAACUACGUGCCAGCAGCCGCGGUA
rnacentral:rRNA from 1 species